rnacentral:rRNA from 1 species
UGGGGAAUAUUGCACAAUGGGCGAAAGCCUGAUGCAGCAACGCCGCGUGAGUGAUGAAGGCCUUCGGGUUGCAAAGCUCUGUCUUUUGGGACGAUAAUGACGGUACCAAAGGAGGAAGCCACGGCUAACUACGUGCCAGCAGCCGCGGUAAUACGUAGGUGGCAAGCGUUGUCCGGAUUUACUGGGCGUAAAGGAUGCGUAGGCGGAUUUUUAAGUGAGAUGUGAAAUACCCGGGCUUAACUUGGGUGCUGCAUUUCAAACUGGGAAUCUAGAGUGCGGGAGAGGAGAAUGGAAUUCCUAGUGUAGCGGUGAAAUGCGUAGAGAUUAGGAAGAACACCAGUGGCGAAGGCGAUUCUCUGGACCGUAACUGACGCUGAGGCAUGAAAGCGUGGGUAGCAAACAGGAUUAGAUACCCUGGUAGUCCACGCCGUAAACGAUGAGUACUAGGUGUAGGAGGUAUCGACCCCUUCUGUGCCGCAGUUAACACAAUCAAGUACUCCGCCUGGGAAGUACGAUCGCAAGAUUAAAACUCAAAGGAA